rnacentral:rRNA from 1 species
GAUGAACGCUGGCGGCGUGCCUAAUACAUGCAAGUCGAGCGAACAGACGAGGAGCUUGCUCCUCUGACGUUAGCGGCGGACGGGUGAGUAACACGUGGAUAACCUACCUAUAAGACUGGGAUAACUUCGGGAAACCGGAGCUAAUACCGGAUAAUAUAUUGAACCGCAUGGUUCAAUAGUGAAAGACGGUUUUGCUGUCACUUAUAGAUGGAUCCGCGCCGCAUUAGCUAGUUGGUAAGGUAACGGCUUACCAAGGCAACGAUGCGUAGCCGACCUGAGAGGGGGCUCGGCCCCACUGAACCUUGGACCCUGUCCACACCCCUACGGGAGGCAGCAGUAGGGAAUCUUCCGAAAUGGGCGAAACCCUGACGGGGCAACGCCGCGUGGGUGAUGAAGGUUUUCGGUUCGUAAAACUUUUUUAUUGGGGAAAAACAAAUGUGUAAGUAACUUUGCCCUUCUUGACGGUACCUAAUCAGAAAGCCCCGGCUACCUCCGU